CAUUGUAAAUAAAUUGCAAACAGCUGAUUGUAGUGCUUUCGUUGAAUAGAAACUGGUUAACAAACGCAUUGCAAGAUGGAAUAAAUAAGUGGACAAAAAUGGCACUAACGGGUGCAAGGCUAAAGAAGGUAAUCAAUGUGUCACUGGAACGACCCAUAUUUAUAUCUGGCCAAUGACUUUCACUACAGAUGUUUCACAAAUCUUGGGAGAAUGUUUGAUGUUGUAAAAAACCAUCUCAUCUUGUUAGAUUAAGCGUAGAUAGAUCGCUUCGAAGUAUACUGGACAAGUAUUAUCAGUUAAGCACACCCUCAACCCAGCGUUCUUUUGCCUAUGAUAGUCGUGUGUAUAUGAUGUUGAAAAGCGGGUCCGAGCAGGACCACUGUCAUUGAAAAGCGUUAGCGUUAAAGAUUUGAACCUAUUGUGUAUAUAGUAGAUGUCUAAACACUAAAAUCAUCCUCAUAUCAGAAUUGCGUCUAGUUAAGCUACAGAAAAGUACCAGUAAUGAUAUUUGAAUUAGGUUUAAUUGGAAUAUUAAAACCUACGUUUUAUUGAUUAAAACACUAUCAAUAAUAAAAUUCCAAGGCUGAGGACAUGAACGUUUUUUCACAUUCUGCUUGACUGUUAAGAAGAUAUUUUAUUAACGGAGCAUACAAGUAAUGGCAUACAACCAUUUAUAUAUUUUAUAGUAAGGCAGAACAACGGAGAUUAUCACUAGAUACUAUGCAUAAUUUUUUUUUGCUUAUUUCCAUUGCACAGUUUUAAUGAGCAUGACGACAAAAAAAUAAUUAAUUACCCAGUAGAUAAUUUCAGGAGUUAAAAGCCCUUCCGAAAGGCCUUUCUGAGAGUCCAGAGGCCUUCCGCUCUACAACUAUUUUUUCUUUCUUUUUUUUGUAUAGAGUGGCACAAACUGAGGGGCUUCUGUCUUCGCUACCCAUGGAAGGCCUUCCAGAAGGGCUUUUAUAGGACGUACUUCAAAAGGCCUUUUGGGGGAGUUCUUUUAAAGUUGCUUCUUUAAUUUAUAAAAAUCAUAGAUCUUUAAAGUAUUUCCGUAAGGUUUAUAUCAAAUAUAUGUUAUUACAACUUAGAUGUUUAUUGAAAUUCAUGUUUAUGCUAAAUAAUAUAAAUUUAUGCAUUAACGUAAAUUGUAAAUAGACAAGCCUUUCUAGAAGGCAUUCAAGGAAGCCAUUUUUCAGCACUUCUUGGGUGGGCCUCUUAGAAUGGCUUUACUUAAGAAGGCCUACCUAAAUUAUCUUCUGGGUACCGGCAAACUGCAGUGCGAUGUUGGGGAAAACUAUGAACAAAGUUAACUAGAUUCAAUCGGCAAUACGCUGCAUUUGUAAUUUGCACAUUAACAAUCUCUGGUGUAGUGCCAAGUGAUUGUAGGUUGCAUAAAUUAAAUACCAUUAUUGGUUUUGCGGCAGUAGUUGAUAUACAUACAUACAAUUCACGCCAGUUACAACAAAAUUGAAUGCCAGUACUGGCGAUUUUAAAUUUAAUUAAACACAAUGAUGUCGAUUUUAAUAAAUUUUUUUUACGCAAGUUUUACAAAAAUUUAAUUAAUACAAAUGUUCACGAGAAUUAAAGAAAUAACAUGUUAAUAAAUACCUAUUUAUUUCUAUAAAUUUUUAUGGUACUAUUAAUA
rnacentral:lncRNA from 1 species